UAGUCCCACAUCUGUAAGUUGCGGAGGGAGAAAGCGAGCCGAGUUGCUUAAGACACAGGCCUCGUCCAACUUUAGACCAUACUUACCUGGACGGGGUCGACGGGCGAUCAUGAGGGGUCGUGGCCUACAUCAACGGCCUCCAUUGCACUCUGGAGGCGCGUUGGUUUACCAUCUCCCCAAGUGGGAGAGUGGACGUCAUAAUUUGUGAUAGAGGGGGAUUUGCGCCUGCGCGGCCCCUGCCAAUCUUGAUAAUUAAAUUUUUGAUCAGAUGUGACACAGACUGGUGAGGCUAUGUCAACAAGGAAGAACUGGCAUCGACAGAACAAGAAAGCAGCCAGAGAAAAUCAAAAAGCAAACCUAAGAUAUGCUCUGAAACAAGCAUAGAUUAAUGAGCUUGUAGAAAUUUUUUAAUGAUAGUAUAAACAUCUUUCAUAUCUUCUCCAAGAUGUUCAUCAGUAUCAAGUAAUUCAAUGUUAAAGCAAUUAACACUUGUCAACCUUCUGCUCAGGUGUAUCAAAACAGUAGAAUUGUUAUAGCUAUGCAAAUUUUCCUGCGAUAAUGGCCAGAGAGUACACAAUUCAGAAAUAAAGAGGCCUUCCGCUGCCUGGUGCAAUCCUGUAGCAGAUACAAUUGCCACACAAAUAAAUAUGACAACGGAGUGCUGCGAAGCUGAUCUCUUAACCUCAGCUAAGUGCUUCUCUUGGGCAUGCCAUAACCAAUAUUCUAUCAGUAUCAGUUAACUAUGAAGCAUCUUGUACAGCAUUUUGACUUUUCAAGAAUGAAAGUAAUUGUGUAGCUUGGAGGCAA